rnacentral:tRNA from 1 species
GGGGGCGUGGCUUAGGGGUUAUAGCGCCCGCUUUGCAAGCGGGAGGACGCGGGUUCGAUACGAUUUUUGGGGCCCGUUGCAGUAA